rnacentral:rRNA from 1 species
GACGAACGCUGGCGGCGUGCUUAACACAUGCAAGGCGAACGAUGAAGAAGAGCUUGCUCUUCGGAUUAGUGGCGAACGGGUGAGUAACACGUGACUAACCUGCCCCUUUCUCUGGGAUAACGCUCCGAAAGGAGUGCUAAUACCGGAUACUCACAUCGAGGCACAUGCCUUGAUGUGGAAAGUUUUUCGGAAAGGGAUGGGGUAGCGGCCUAUCAGCUUGUUGGUGAGGUAACGGCUCACCAAGGCGACGACGGGUAGCCGGCCUGGGAGGGCGACCGGCAACCAUGGGGCUGAGACACGGCCCAGACUCCUGCGGGAGGCAGCAGUGGGGAAUAUUGCACAAUGGGCGAAAGCCUGAUGCAGAGACGCCGCGUGAGGGAUGAAGGUCUUCGGAUUGUAAACCUCUUUCAGUAGGGACGAAGCGAAAGUGACGGUACCUAAAGAAGAAGCACCGGCUAACUACGUGCCAGCCGCCGCCGUAA